UAGUCCCAGCCCUAAACGGUGUCAACUUGGUGUCGGCGGUAUUGACCCCGCCGGUGCCGGAGCUAACGCGUUAAGUUGACCGCCUGGGGAGUACGGCCGCAAGGCUAAAACUCAAAGAAAUUGACGGGGGCCCGCACAAGCGGAGGAGCAUGUGGCUUAAUUCGAUGAUACCCGAAGAACCUUACCUGGGCUUGACAUCAUGGGAAAGCCGUGGAAACACGGUGUGCAUUUGCGUCCAUGACAGGUGGUGCAUGGCUGUCGUCAGCUCGUGUCGUGAGAUGUUGGGUUAAGUCCCGCAACGAGCGCAACCCUUGUCCUAUGUUGCCAGCGGAUUAUGCCGGGGACUCAUAGGAGACUGCCGGGGACAACUCGGAGGAAGGCGAGGACGACGUCAAGUCAUCAUGCCCCUUAUUGUUCAGGGCUGCACGCAUGCUACAAUGGCAGAUACAACGGGUUGCGAUCCCGCGAGGGUGAGCUAAUCCCUGAAAGUCUGUCUCAGUUC
rnacentral:rRNA from 1 species